rnacentral:rRNA from 1 species
AUGUAACGGGGCUAAACCAUGCACCGAAGCUGCGGCAGCGACGCUUAUGCGUUGUUGGGUAGGGGAGCGUUCUGUAAGCCUGUGAAGGUGUGCUGUGAGGUAUGCUGGAGGUAUCAGAAGUGCGAAUGCUGACAUAAGUAACGAUAAAGCGGGUGAAAAGCCCGCUCGCCGGAAGACCAAGGGUUCCUGUCCAACGUUAAUCGGGGCAGGGUGAGUCGACCCCUAAGGCGAGGCCGAAAGGCGUAGUCGAUGGGAAACAGGUUAAUAUUCCUGUACUUGGUGUUACUGCGAAGGGGGGACGGAGAAGGCUAUGUUGGCCGGGCGACGGUUGUCCCGGUUUAAGCGUGUAGGCUGGUUUUCCAGGCAAAUCCGGAAAAUCAAGGCCGAGGCGUGAUGACGAGGCACUACGGUGCUGAAGCAACAAAUGCCCUGCUUCCAGGAAAAGCCUCUAAGCAUCAGGUAACAUCAAAUCGUACCCCAAACCGACACAGGUGGUCAGGUAGAGAAUACCAAGGCGCUUGAGAGAACUCGGGUGAAGGAACUAGGCAAAAUGGUGCCGUAACUUCGGGAGAAGGCACGCUGAUACGUAGGUGAAGCGACUUGCUCGUGGAGCUGAAAUCAGUCGAAGAUACCAGCUGGCUGCAACUGUUUAUUAAAAACACAGCACUGUGCAAACACGAAAGUGGACGUAUACGGUGUGACGCCUGCCCGGUGCCGGAAGGUUAAUUGAUGGGGUUAGCGCAAGCGAAGCUCUUGAUCGAAGCCCCGGUAAACGGCGGCCGUAACUAUAACGGUCCUAAGGUAGCGAAAUUCCUUGUCGGGUAAGUUCCGACCUGCACGAAUGGCGUAAUGAUGGCCAGGCUGUCUCCACCCGAGACUCAGUGAAAUUGAACUCGCUGUGAAGAUGCAGUGUACCCGCGGCAAGACGGAAAGACCCCGUGAACCUUUACUAUAGCUUGACACUGAACAUUGAGCCUUGAUGUGUAGGAUAGGUGGGAGGCUUUGAAGUGUGGACGCCAGUCUGCAUGGAGCCGACCUUGAAAUACCACCCUUUAAUGUUUGAUGUUCUAACGUGGACCCGUGAUCCGGGUUGCGGACAGUGUCUGGUGGGUAGUUUGACUGGGGCGGUCUCCUCCUAAAGAGUAACGGAGGAGCACGAAGGUUGGCUAAUCCUGGUCGGACAUCAGGAGGUUAGUGCAAUGGCAUAAGCCAGCUUGACUGCGAGCGUGACGGCGCGAGCAGGUGCGAAAGCAGGUCAUAGUGAUCCGGUGGUUCUGAAUGGAAGGGCCAUCGCUCAACGGAUAAAAGGUACUCCGGGGAUAACAGGCUGAUACCGCCCAAGAGUUCAUAUCGACGGCGGUGUUUGGCACCUCGAUGUCGGCUCAUCACAUCCUGGGGCUGAAGUAGGUCCCAAGGGUAUGGCUGUUCGCCAUUUAAAGUGGUACGCGAGCUGGGUUUAGAACGUCGUGAGACAGUUCGGUCCCUAUCUGCCGUGGGCGCUGGAGAACUGAGGGGGGCUGCUCCUAGUACGAGAGGACCGGAGUGGACGCAUCACUGGUGUUCGGGUUGUCAUGCCAAUGGCACUGCCCGGUAGCUAAAUGCGGAAGAGAUAAGUGCUGAAAGCAUCUAAGCACGAAACUUGCCCCGAGAUGAGUUCUCCCUGACCCUUUAAGGGUCCUGAAGGAACGUUGAAGACGACGACGUUGAUAGGCCGGGUGUGUAAGCGCAGCGAUGCGUUGAGCUAACCGGUACUAAUGAACCGUGAGGCUUAACCUUACAACGCCGAAG